AUACAUAUUGCAAGUUGUGUGGUCCUUGACUCUAUGUAGGAAGGUCCUUGACUACAAAGUUAUUGCACAACAAGCUUGUUGAUGUUGCCCAACUAAUGAUCCAAUGCAUUGCAACAUAUACAUACUGGUUAAACUGGAUUGAAGCUUCCUAGCUACCUAGUUAUCAUUUGUUCAUCUGUCACUUUUAGAUGAACCUAAUAUUUGGCGAUAACAAAAGAACUGCAUGCUUAAUAGAUUGUUUGUUUUUCCUUAUAAAAGCCAGAUAGGAGUGUUGUAAUGGAUUAGUCAAGCAUGAAUAUGAUAAAAUAAGUUUUAACUGGGUAUGAUGAAAUAAGUUUGGAGUUAGCUAGGCAUGCCGACUCGGUUCCAGCAGAACCCUGUCCCACCAUGUUUGCAGUCUCCACUUGAUUUCACAAUUUCAGUCACAGGACCUAAUCCCAGACCUAACAUCUCGUGUUCUCCUUUUUACUCCGUUUCUUCGUUUCUCAUCUUACUCCGUUUUUCAUUUCUCUCGUGUCGGAAAUUCUAAGUCUUGCUAACCAUUUCAGUCUCUGCAAUUGAGCUUCGUAUUUCAAACACCACAACCAUCGUUCGCGAAGAAAAACGGAUUCAAUCUCAGUCUUCGUUUUAAUUUAUCUUGUAUCCGCAAAUCUGCAAUUCAGCUUCCCAUUUCAGUCGAUUUAAACUCAUUGACAUUGUUCGCAAAGAAAUCUGACGCAGCAAAGAUCUGUUUAACUAAAAGAGAAGACAAUCUAUAAGGUAGCUUACUCAGACUCGAUUCUUAUCAUACACCUCGUUCUCUAUUGUUGAUGUGCCUUAACUUUAGUCCACUUGAUAUCAACUUGUAUGCACAUUUGGUCGGAGCUACUGCAACAUGGAUAAAGCUUGGAUCUGGUUACCAAGGAAUUGUGUUGAGUGUGAGGAAGGAGCAACCAAGUUUGUGGUUGAUUCAGCACGAAGUUUGGGCAAUGUAUCAGAUAUGUUUUUCCUUGCAUUGAUUGCCGCAAUGUGGUUCAUCAGCCAAAUGAGACAGUGUUAGAGCAUCUGGUGAUAAGAGGGAUGGAUCUGAAGUACAAGAGAAGCAAAUUUUGGAGUAAUUAAACACGGGGAUGUAAGGACUGACAAGCCAACUGAUGUUCAAACUUCUGAAUAUGAGGCUUAUGAAUUGAUUAUGACAGCUUUUAUGGCGAGUGAAGGCAAUCGAUCAUCUCAGGAUCAGAUUUUAGAAGAGGCUGAGGAUAUUGACAUUGAAGAAGAAGCUGAGUUUAGGAAGAAGUUAGAGGAUGCAAAAACUCCAUUGUACCCGAGUUGUCUGAAAUACACAAAGGUAUCCGCAAUAAUGGGACUGUAUCGGAUGAAGGUCAAGAGUGGUAUGUCAGAGAAUUUUUUUGAUCAGCUUUUGACACUUGUUCAUGACAUUUUACCUGGAUUCAACGUCCUGCCUAAGUCUACAGAUGAGAUGAAGAGAUUCUUUAAGCUUUUUGGAUUUGGUUAUGAUGCUAUUCACGCCUGUAGAAAUGAUUGCAUCCUUUUUCGGAAUGAUAUGAGGAUUUGGUGAGCUGCCCAAGAUGUAGUGAAUGUAGAUGGGAAAAGGAUAAGCACACCGGUGAUGAGAAGGUAGGGAUUCCAGCAAAGGUGCUAAUGUAUUUUCCUAUAAAAGAUAGAUUUAGGAGGAUGUUUAUAUCAAAACGGUUGGCUGAGAAUUUGCGUUGGCACUACACAAAUGCUAGUGCAUAUGGUAAAAUACGGCAUCUAGUUGACUCCUUGACAUGGGUUCAGGUCAACGAGAAAUGGCCAGAGUUUGCUGCUGAUCUGAGAAAUCUUAGACUAGGUCUGUCCACUGAAGGGACGAGUCCGUUUUCUAUCCAAACCACCAAGUACACCACAAGGCCAGUGCUGUUAGUGAAUUACAAUAUGGCUCCAACUGAGUGUAUGAAAGCAGAGAACAUCAUGCUGACAAUGUUAAUUCCAGGACCAACCGCACCAAGCAACAACAUUGAUGUAUAUCUACAGCCGUUGAUAGAUGAUCUAAGGGACUUGUGGAAUGAAGGUAUUGAAGUGUUUGACUCGUUUAAGAAGGAGAGCUUCACUCUAAGAGCUAUGCUUCUAUGGACCGUCACUGACUAUCCGGCUUUAGGAUCAUUAGGUGGAUGUAAAGUGAAGGGUAAGCAAGCUUGUAAUGUCUAUGGGAAGGAUACACCUCAUAGGUGGUUAAAGUAUAGUCGCAAGCAUGUCUAUAUGGGCAAUAGGAAGCGCUUGAGACCUGGUCAUCCUUACAGGCGUAAGAAAGGGUGUUUGACAACACAGUUGAGGUUGGUACUGCAAAAAGAAUUCAGACUGGAGCAGAAAUCUAUGAGAGCCUUAAAGACUUUAGGAAUGAAUUUGGUAAACCUUUAGUCAAGAAUGGGAAGAGAAAAAAGAUUGAAAUAGAAGAAGAUGAUGUCUCUUCAGCCGAUGAGUAUGAAGAAGACGAUAACCAAUGGCGAUGGAAAAAAGAUCAAUCUUUUUUUAAUUACCGUACUGGAAGGACAUGCCUGUUAGGCAUAAUAUAGAUGUAAUGCACGUUAAAAGAAUGUGUCUGAUGCUCUAUUAUCAAUCUUGAUGCAUAAUGCGAAAUCAAAAAAUGGCUUGAAAGCAAGAAGAGACUUAGAAGACAUUGGGAUUCGAAGAAACUUACAUUCACAUAUACGUGGGAAGAGAACUUUCUUACCUCCGGCGACAUAUUGGCUUUCAAAAGAAGAAAAACGUAUAUUCUGCAGAAGGUUAUUUAAAUUCAGAGGCCCUGAUGGAUAUUGUGCCAACAUCUCAAAUUGCGUGUCAGUAGAUCCUCCCACCAUUGGUAGUAUGAAGUCACAUGACCAUCAUGUUCUAGUACAGAAUCUGUUACCUGUGGCAUUGAGAGGUUUGCUGCCUAAAGGACCUCGGAUUGCAUUGAACCGUAUCUACAAUUACUUCAAUAGGUUGUGCCAACGUGUAGUUGAUCCGGAGAAGCUAUUAAACUUAGAAUCAGAAAUUGUAGAAACGAUGUGCCAGUUAGAGCGAUACUUUCCACCUUCACUGUGUGAUAUUAUGUUUCAUCUGCCAAUACAUCUAGCAAGAGAAACACGCUUGGGUGGUCCGGUACACUUCAUAUGGAUGUACCCUUUCGAGAGGUAUAUGAAUACACUAAAAGCAUAUGUGAAGAACUUUGUAAGGCCAGAGGCUUGUAUGGCUGAGGGCUACUUGGCUGGUGAAUGCAUUGCAUUCUGUUUGGAGUUCCUUCAGAAUUCUGUUCCAGUUGAAGAAACAGUUAAUCGCAAUGAAGAUGUAGAGGCAGAGCAACAUACUCGAAGGUCGACCAUUACAGAAAGCAACAGAAAAGAUCCUUACAGAUAAAGAGCGAGACAUAGCUCACAAGUAUAUUCUCAUGAAUACAGCAGUCAUGGAUCCAUAUGUUGAAUAAGUUAGACGCUAUAUAGUUUAUAUUAUAAACUUACUUUUACUGCGUACGAGACUAACUUUAUUGAAAUUAGGAUGUAUUUGGAAGAACUGCAAGCUACAGAUGCAAGAUGCGCAAGAAAUGAAACUCUACUAUGGAAAUAUCAUACAGAAAGGUUCCCACAGUGGAUAAAAAAAAGAUACCAACAAACUCAAAGGACCAUUCUAGUACGCUCAGAUGGCUUGCUUUUGGACCAAGAAACAUUGCUCAAACCUACAAGGGAUAUAUAGUGAACGGCCAUAGGUUCCAGAUAGACGAUGUGAAGAGGAAGACUCAGAAUAGUGGAGUCACUUACGAAGCUGUUUCUAUGUGUCGAGCUAGUGCUAAAGAUACUAGACAAUUGGCAGGCAUAGUAUCAUUCUAUGGAGUAAUAAAGGAGAUCCUGUUAGUGGACUACCACAUGUUCCAGGUUCCACUAUUUCAUUGUAGUUGGGCUAACAAAGGGAAUGGGGUGAAAGAGGAAGAUGGUUUCACACUAGUCAAUCUUCAUAUGAACCAGUCAUCAUAUGUAAAUGAUCCUUUCAUUCUGGCAUCGCAAGCUAAACAAGUGUUUUACUCUAGAGAUGAUGAGUGCUCACUUUGGUAUGUUGUCAUGAGGGCGCCACCUAGAGGAUACCAUGAACUCGAGACAGAAGAGGCGUCUGUUUAUACAACAAUACCAGUCCAGACAAUUGAUGAUUUUGUAGAUCAAUUGUCUGAUGACGAGAGUUUUUGUGUGAGGAAUGAUUGUGAAGGUGUUAUAGUAGACAAUUAACACUAAAUCAGUUUUAUUUUGCUGCAGGUAAUCAAAAACGAUGAAAACUGUAGGUGUUACCGACAUCUGUCGCAGUAAGCGUCAAGCAGGCCUUGAUGUGAGCCCUGUAGUGUCACUGAAUCAGAAGAAAAAAAAAAGGAUGUUCCACCCGAGAAUGUAGAGGAAGAUAGAAAAAGAUCAAGUGGAUGACGAAUCAGUAGAAGAACAAUCCCCUGGUCUACAAGACGAACCCAUUCCCCCUACUACUAGAAGCGUGGUCCAAUGCGUCUGAAUCACCGACGCAACAAUCAGAUAACAAAAAGAGGAAGUCAAGAGGUCCAACGAGAAUGCGAAAAGUGGGGAAGAGUGUGGACGAUAAGGUUCAAGUAGAAUUCAAUUCACUAGGUGAGCAUGUUGGUUCGGGAUCAGUGACACUCGCAUCCUUCCUUGGUCCUCUUGUGAGAGAGCAUGUUCCAGUACUGCUAGAUAACUGGAGACAUCUUGAUGACAAUAUAAAAGACAUAAUGUGGGAAGAAAUUCAGAUAAUGUUGGCCUUUUGUUGUACUAAACGUUUAAUUAUCAAAGUAAUUUUUUCUUGUAGUUUUAACUUGGCAAUGUUUGACAGAGGAGGUUCAAUUUGAAAGAAGAUUGGUAAAAGGACGUUGUCUUCAGGCAGAUGGGUGAUUUGUGGAGGGCUUCUAAGUCUCGGCUUGCUUCCAAAGUUUGAUCCACUAAAAGUAAGGUUGCACUACAGCAACUAAAGCCUAGCAACAUCCAAUGUGCAUCAGCUUGGAACAGUUGGGUGAAAAAUAGGAAUAGCACAGCUGCUGAGGAACAAAGUGAAAAAUUCAAGCAAUUGAGGAAGGGUCAAAUUCCUCAUACUACCAGCCGUAAAGGAAUGACUCGUUUAGCUCAUGAUAUGAAAAAAAUUAGUUCUGACCCUAGGAAAGUUACUAGAAGCAAGGUGUGGCUAGCAGGACAUACUCAUUCUGAUGGGAGACCUGUGAGGGAAGAAUUUUCGGAAACUAUUGUACUAGGAAAAGAUAGACCAGGAAGAAUUAGGGGGAUGGGUAGAGGCGCUACUGUUACCAAGUUGGCCUACUUGCAGGCUAGAGACUCACAUGUUCAGAAGCUUGAAGCUACUCAAGCAGAAUUAGUUAGCAAGGUUGAGUAUUUGCAGAAUGUGGUUAGUGAAAUAACAAGUAAAAAGACUGAUAAUGUCUCCAAGUCUGAUAUAAGAGAUGUUAGCAAAGGAGGCAUUAGGUGCCAGCUACUGGAUUGGUAUUCAGAUGAGGAGGUGGUUGUUGC